GCUGAACUCCCGUGUCCCUCCGCGCAGGCGGGCGGCCCCGGAGCGCUGGUGCCGGCAGAGGCGGCGACGGCGGCGCCCCUCCUCAUCAUGCCUUGGCAGCUGUGGCUUGGCCCAGACACAGAGACCCCCACCUCCAAAGAGGACGUCCUUAAACAGAGGCUUCUCCCGAAAAAGCCACACAUUCCUGCCCAAGAUCUUCUUCCGCAAGAUGUCAUCCUCAGGGACCAAGGACAAGCCUGAGCUGCAGUUUCCCUUCCUUCAGGAUGAGGACACAGUGGCCACGCUGCAAGAGUGCAAGACUCUCUUCAUCUUGCGCGGCCUGCCAGGAAGCGGCAAGUCCACGCUGGCACGGGUCAUCGUGGACAAGUACCGUGAUGGCACCAAGAUGGUGUCAGCUGACGCUUACAAGAUCACCCCCGGCGCUCGAGGAGCCUUCUCCGAGGAGUACAAGCGGCUCGAUGAGGACCUGGCUGCCUACUGCCGCCGCCGGGACAUCAGAAUUCUUGUGCUUGAUGACACCAACCACGAACGGGAACGGCUGGAGCAGCUCUUUGAAAUGGCCGACCAGUAUCAGUACCAGGUGGUGC
rnacentral:sRNA from 1 species